GCGAUCAUGCCAGCACUAAUGCACCGGAUCCCAUCAGAACUCCGCAGCUAAAUUUGUUUGGGCGAGAGUAGUACUUGUAUUGAUGACACCCUGAGAAGUCCUCGUGCUGCACCCA